rnacentral:rRNA from 1 species
UACAAUGCUGGCAACAGCGAUAAGGGAACCUCGAGUGCCAGGUUACAAAUCUGGCUGUCGAGAUGCCUAAAAAGCAUUUCAUAGCAAGGGCCGGGCAAGACCGGUGCCAGCCGCCGCGGUAACACCGGCGGCUCGAAUGGUAACCGUUAUUAUUGGGUCUAAAGGGUCUGUAGCCGGCCGGAUAAGUCUCUUGAGAAAUCUGGCAGCUUAACUGUCAGGCUUUCAGGAGAUACUGUCUGGCUCGAGGCCGGGAGAGGUGAGAGGUACUUCAGGGGUAGGGGUGAAAUCUUGUAAUCCUUGAAGGACCACCAGUGGCGAAGGCGUCUCACCAGAACGGACCUGACGGCAAGGGACGAAAGCUAGGGGCACGAACCGGAUUAGAUACCCGGGUAGUCCUAGCCGUAAACGAUACUCGCUAGGUGUCGGCCACGGUGCGACCGUUGUCGGUGCCGUAGGGAAGCCGUGAAGCGAGC